GCACUGCUGAGGAGUCCCAUACUAGGACGAAACACCCGUCCAGUGC
rfam:Schistosoma curassoni strain Dakar, Senegal genome assembly, scaffold: SCTD_scaffold0001334